rnacentral:rRNA from 1 species
AAUCUUCCACAAUGGACGAAAGUCUGAUGGAGCAACGCCGCGUGAGUGAAGAAGGUUCUCGGAUCGUAAAGCUCUGUUGUAAGGGAAGAACAAGUACAGGAGUAACUGUCUGUACCUUGACGGUACCUUACCAGAAAGCCACUGCUAACUACGUGCGAGCAGCCGCGGUAAUACGUAGGUGGCAAGCGUUGUCCGGGAUUAUUUGGCGUAAAGAGCGCGCAGGAGGUCCUUUGAGUCUGAUGUGAAGGCCCACGGCUCAACCGUGGAGGGUCAUUGGAAGCUGGAGGACUUGAGUACAGAAGAGGAAAGCGGAAUUCCACGUGUAGCGGUGAAAUGCGUAGAGAUGUGGAGGAACACCAGUGGCGAAGGCGGCUUUCUGGUCUGUAACUGACGCUGAGGCGCGAAAGCGUGGGGAGCAAACA